rnacentral:lncRNA from 1 species
CAUUUUUAAAAAUGGGAAAUUAAUAUGAUAUGGGACUUUUUAGUGAUGUUCUUUUCUAUGCUCCCUGUAGAUCAGGAAUCCACAGAUAAAGCGUCUUUCUCCCCAGAAGGAACAUUCUGUGCAACGCCUAAAGAGUUUGAGGGAGUCGCUGGAGAGGAGUCGCCUCAAGUUCUCCCUCCAGGGGGGAAAGGUCACGGCCCUCUGUCCACAGGAGGGGGAGCAGCUGUGGACUCUGAACAUCAAGAGAGCUCUACUGAGCAUGCUCCAGACCUCCCGCACCGCCGAGAAGCAGGAAGUAGUGAAGGAGACGGAUCUGUACGGGACCUGCACGAGUAAGUAUGAGAGGAGAGGGCCUCUACUGGUGAAGACGAGGAACCUCAGGCAGUGUCAACAGGACCGACUGGCUUACUUCUGGCCCAAUUCCACCCCUCUGAGAGAGGACACGACAGUGGACUCCAAACUCCAAUGUACCCAGCGGCAUGGGACUACAGUGAUGGAGGAGGUCAACUGCACAGAGAUCAUCUCCAUGGUACCAUUGUCAGGGUCAACAGGAGUGGUGAAGACCCAGACCGUCUCUACCCUUACGCUGCUCAGAGCCCAGAAAGGCACACCCUCAGGAGUGGAUACACUGGGUCCAGGUGUCCUGAGUGACCUCCAGUUUGUGGAGGAGGGGGCUGAAGGCCAAGUCCGAGGCAGGACGUCCUCCCCCCAAGAGGCCACAGACACCGUUAGGAAGCUGUGUGGUCUUACCUCUGACCAGCAACAGGUAGGACCCCAAUUUUCUAAGACAUCAUAAGGGAGUAAUUCACGCUUAGGACUAGUCUUACAAUGCAUUA